GACGAACGCUGGCGGCGUGCCUAAUACAUGCAAGUCGAGCGGACGAUUCAAAAGCUUGCUUUUGAAUCGUUAGCGGCGGACGGGUGAGUAACACGUGGGCAACCUGCCCUGUAGACGGGGAUAACACCGAGAAAUCGGUGCUAAUACCGGAUAACACGAAAUGUCGCAUGACGUUUCGUUGAAAGACGGCGCAAGCUGUCGCUACAGGAUGGGCCCGCGGCGCAUUAGCUAGUUGGUGAGGUAACGGCUCACCAAGGCGACGAUGCGUAGCCGACCUGAGAGGGUGAUCGGCCACACUGGGACUGAGACACGGCCCAGACUCCUACGGGAGGCAGCAGUAGGGAAUCUUCCGCAAUGGACGAAAGUCUGACGGAGCAACGCCGCGUGAGCGAAGAAGGCCUUCGGGUCGUAAAGCUCUGUUGUUAGGGAAGAACAAGUAACGCAGUAACUGGCGUUACCGUGACGGUACCUAACGAGAAAGCCACGGCUAACUACGUGCCAGCAGCCGCGGUAAUACGUAGGUGGCAAGCGUUGUCCGGAAUUAUUGGGCGUAAAGCGCGCGCAGGCGGUUCCUUAAGUCUGAUGUGAAAGCCCACGGCUCAACCGUGGAGGGUCAUUGGAAACUGGGGGACUUGAGUGCAGAAGAGGAGAGCGGAAUUCCACGUGUAGCGGUGAAAUGCGUAGAGAUGUGGAGGAACACCAGUGGCGAAGGCGGCUCUCUGGUCUGUAACUGACGCUGAGGCGCGAAAGCGUGGGGAGCAAACAGG
rnacentral:rRNA from 1 species